GCCGUUUUAGCUCAGUGGUAGAGCGCGUUGCUUUUAACCACGUGAUCGUGGGUUCGAACCCCACAAACGGCG